AUUGAACGCUGGCGGCAGGCCUAACACAUGCAAGUCGAACGAGUGGCGGACGGGUGAGUAAUGUCUGGGAAACUGCCCGAUGGAGGGGGAUAACUACUGGAAACGGUAGCUAAUACCGCAUACCAUCGGAUGUGCCCAGAUGGGAUUAGCUAGUAGGUGGGGUAACGGCUCACCUAGGCGACGAUCCCUAGCUGGUCUGAGAGGAUGACCAGCCAAACUGGGACUGAUAAACGGUCCAGACUCCUACGGGAGGCAGCAGUGGGGAAUAUUGCACAAUGGGGGGAACCCUGACCGAGCAACGCCGCGUGAGUGAAGAAGGUUUUCGGGUUGUAAAGUACUUUCAGCGAGGAGGCGUUACUCGCAGAAGAAGCACCGGCUAACUCCGUGCCAGCAGCCGCGGUAAUUC
rnacentral:rRNA from 1 species